rnacentral:piRNA from 1 species
AAGACGCUGUCGGGAUGGUAAAGGA